rnacentral:rRNA from 1 species
UACGUAGGGGGCAAGCGUUGUCCGGAAUCAUUGGGCGUAAAGAGCGUGUAGGCGGCCCGGUAAGUCCGCUGUGAAAGUCCAGGGCUCAACCCUGGGAUGCCGGUGGAUACUGCAGGGCUAGAGUCCGGAAGAGGCGAGUGGAAUUCCUGGUGUAGCGGUGAAAUGCGCAGAUAUCAGGAGGAACACCGAUGGCGAAGGCAGCUCGCUGGGACGGUACUGACGCUGAGGCGCGAAAGCGUGGGGAGCAAACAGG